CUGGUUGACCCCUAUCCUGGGCAUUCAGAGUCAUUUCCCGCUCCUUUCUGUGGCUGGAACCAGAAGAAUAUAUCUCAGGUCUAAUAGGGUAUGGACUGCAUAAAGCCUGGGAUUUUUGUGCAUUCUGUUCAUGACAAUGUCUCUAGCCUGUUGAACAGCCCAUAGUAGGCACUCAGCAAACCAAUAGGAACUGAGGGGGUCAAGGAAAUGCCCUGUGAUCCCCCUGAAUCCAACCCCUCUGUCUUUGCCCACCUUUCCUCCGUUAAAACACAGCCUAUAUCAAUGAGGGCCUGGGAGAAAACUGGGGUGGGGGAGGACUGUGCCUCUCUUGACCUUCAUUUACAAAAAAUAAGUUGGCUCCUAGACCCGUGUUGGAGCCACACUGCCCGGGACAGCCCUGAAGCAGCCACGUCCCCACCUUUCAGGAGUCGGCCAAGAGCACGGUGGCUGCAGAAGGCCCUGGCUGAUGGAGAUAACAUUUGACAAACAGGUGCUUUUCCAAUUAUGGAUAACAACAGAAAAGCAGUCAUUGGUUUCUAAAAGGUCAUCAAGAUAUAAAGCCCGUUUGGGAAGGGAAUGACUUACGCAGUGGGCUUGUAUAAAUCUGGAGAAGUUUUAUGCACAAGUCGGACAAGAAAUCUUUCCAGGUGUUCUACAUACGGCUCGGGAGCCAGCAAGUGCGUAUGAAGCCCCUUCACAUGGCUAGUGGCAUCCUAAGGACCCGGCGACAAUUAGUCAUGGCGUCAUCGAACACCAGGCUGGAGGAGGUCUUGGAUGCCACAGCUCCUUUUGAAUUUCAAAGACGUUCAAAUCCCCAUCUGGCUGUUACACUUUUAGGCUAUUGAGAGUGAAAACAAGCACUGACAUGAACACCCAACCAGCUGCCGGUGACAUCGUCCCCUUCUGAGAUCUGAGGACAUGGAUACCCAACCACCUGCCGGUGACAUCGUCUCCUUCUGAGAUCUGAGGACAUGAACACCCAACCACCUGCCGGUGAUAUCGUCCCCUUCUGAGAUCUGAGGACGUGGAUAUCCAACCACCUGCCGGUGACAUUGUCUCCUUCUGAGAUCUGAGGACAUGGACACCAAACCACCUGCCGGUGACAUUGUCUCCUUCUGAGAUCUGAGGACAUGAACACCAAACCACCUGCCAGUGACAUCGUCCCCUUCUGAGAUCUGAGGACAUGGAUACCCAACCACCUGCCGGUGACAUCGUCUCCUUCUGAGAUCUGAGGACAUGGACACCCAACCACCUGCCGGUGACAUCGUCUCCUUCUGAGAUCUGAGGACAUGAACACCCAACCACCUGCCGGUGAUAUCGUCCCCUUCUGAGAUCUGAGGACGUGGAUAUCCAACCACCUGCCGGUGACAUUGUCUCCUUCUGAGAUCUGAGGACAUGGACACCAAACCACCUGCCGGUGACAUUGUCUCCUUCUGAGAUCUGAGGACAUGAACACCAAACCACCUGCCAGUGACAUCGUCCCCUUCUGAGAUCUGAGGACAUGGAUACCCAACCACCUGCCGGUGACAUCAUCUUCUUCUGAGAUCUGAGGACAUGGACACCCAACCACCUGCCGGUGACAUCGUCUCCUUCUGAGAUCUGAGGACAUGGACACCAAACCACCUGCCGGUGACAUCGUCUCCUUCUGAGAUCUGAGGACAUGAACACCCAACCACCUGCCGGUGAUAUCGUCCCCUUCUGAGAUCUGAGGACGUGGAUAUCCAACCACCUGCCGGUGACAUUGUCUCCUUCUGAGAUCUGAGGACAUGGACACCAAACCACCUGCUGGUGACAUUGUCUCCUUCUGAGAUCUGAGGACAUGAACACCAAACCACCUGCCAGUGACAUCGUCCCCUUCUGAGAUCUGAGGACAUGGAUACCCAACCACCUGCCGGUGACAUCAUCUUCUUCUGAGAUCUGAGGACAUGGACACCCAACCACCUGCCGGUGACAUCGUCUCCUUCUGAGAUCUGAGGACAUGGACACCAAACCACCUGCCGGUGACAUCGUCUCCUUCUGAGAUCUGAGGACAUGAACACCCAACCACCUGCCGGUGACAUCGUCCCCUUCUGAGAUCUGAGGACAUUGAUACCCAGCCACCUGCCGGUGACAUCGUCUCCUUCUGAGAUCUGAGGAUAUGGACACCAAACCACCUGCCGGUGACAUCGUCUCCUUCUGAGAUCUGAGGACAUGAACACCCAACCACCUGCCGGUGACAUCGUCCCCUUCUGAGAUCUGAGGACAUGGAUACCCAACCACCUGCCGGUGACAUCGUCUCCUUCUGAGAUCUGAGGACAUGGACACCCAACCUGCUGCUGGUGACAUCGUUCCCUUCUGAGAUCUGAGGACAUGGACACCAAACCACCUGCCAGUGACAUCGUCUCCUUCUGAGAUCUGAGGACAUGGACACCAAACCUGCUGCCGGUGACAUCGUCCCCUUCUGAGAUCUGAGGACAUGGACACCCAACCACCUGCCGGUGACAUCGUCUCCUUCUGAGGUCUGAGGACAGACACUCACAUGGACACCUAAACACCUGCCGAUGAUAUUGUCUCCUUCUGAAAUCUGAGGACAUGGACACCCAACCAGCUGCUGGUGACAUCAUCUCCUUCUGAGAUCUGAGGACAGACACUCACAUAGACGCCCAAUCAGCUGCUGGUGACAUUGUCUCCUUCUGAAAUCUGAGGGUUGGAACACAUUGGCCUGGCUCAGUGUUUCUCCAUGUGGUUUUGAGACCACCUGAGUUGGAACCGAUAUGGGUUCCCAGCCUCACGCCUGGAGAGCUGGAUUUUGCGAGUGUGAGGUUAGGUCCAGCAUCUGCAUGUGUAACGAGCUCCCAGGUGUUUCGUAGAUGCAUUAGGGCUUGAGAAGCUCCUUUCUAGCACCAUCUUCCUUUUUGCGCAUGAGGGAGUUCAGGUCCAGAGAAAUAAAGCAGCAAGGUUAGUGGCACAGCUGGCGCCCCCUGCUUUCUAGGAAUUUAGAAUAUUAUUGAAGAGAGAGGUAUUAGAACCUGUGAAGUCAAUACAGAGACCUCCAGGCGAGUGGCAUCCUCACUGAAACCACUGACAAGUAUGCUGAAUAGAAAGUGUCAUUUCUCCUGGAAGACCCUCAGUGACCCAGCUGGAGGGUCUCUCCUACUCAUCAGCUGUCCCUCACUCUGCCAUUUCAG
rnacentral:lncRNA from 1 species